rnacentral:rRNA from 1 species
CCUACGGGAGGCAGCAGUAGGGAAUCUUCCACAAUGGACGAAAGUCUGAUGGAGCAACGCCGCGUGAGUGAAGAAGGGUUUCGGCUCGUAAAGCUCUGUUGGGGGUGAAGAGAGAUAGAGGGAGUAACUGGCCUUUAUUUGACGGGAAUUACUUAGAAAGUCAAGGCUAACUACGUGCCAGCAGCCGCGGGAAUACGUAGGUGGCAAGCGUUGUCCGGAUUUAUUGGGCGUAAAGCGAGUGCAGGGGG